AGAGUUUGAUCAUGGCUCAGAAUCAACGCUGGCGGCGUGCCUCAGACAUGCAAGUCGAACGAUUAAAGCUCUCUUCGAGAGUGCAUAAAGUGGCGCACGGGUGAGUAACACGUAAGUAAUCUACCCUCGAGUGGGGAAUAACGUCCGGAAACGGGCGCUAAUACCGCAUAAUGCAGCGGCACCGCAAGGUGACAGUUGUUAAAGAUUUAUCGCUUGAGGAGGAGCUUGCGGCAGAUUAGCUAGUUGGUAAGGUAAUGGCUUACCAAGGCUACGAUCUGUAACCGGUCUAAGAGGACGGUCGGUCACACUGACACUGAAUAACGGGUCAGACUCCUACGGGAGGCAGCAGUCGGGAAUUUUGGGCAAUGGGCGAAAGCCUGACCCAGCAACGCCGCGUGAAGGACGAAGUAUUUCGGUAUGUAAGCUUCGAAAGAAUGGAAGAAUAAAUGACGGUACCAUUUUAAGGUCCGGCUAACUACGUGCCAGCAGCCGCGGUAAUAC
rnacentral:rRNA from 1 species